UGAGUAACACGUAUCCAACCUGCCGUCUACUCUUGGACAGCCUUCUGAAAGGAAGAUUAAUACAAGAUGGCAUCAUGAGUCCGCAUGUUCACAUGAUUAAAGGUAUUCCGGUAGACGAUGGGGAUGCGUUCCAUUAGAUAGUAGGCGGGGUAACGGCCCACCUAGUCUUCGAUGGAUAGGGGUUCUGAGAGGAAGGUCCCCCACAUUGGAACUGAGACACGGUUCAA
rnacentral:rRNA from 1 species